rnacentral:pre_miRNA from 1 species
GAGACAUCCUUAUGGAGCAGGACUUGCUUCAGUGGGGCUUUGGUGUUCACUGAGUCAGCCACUUGAGUGUGUCACU